AUUGAAUUAGACAUCAUUGGAAAGAAAAAUAUUAAGUAUAGCUUAAUUAGUUUUCGAGUAAUUGAUGAAAAACUAAACAAUUGCAAUAUUUCCAGAGGUUGACUCAUGAUAUGACAGAUUGGAUUGGAUUUCCCAUUGUAUCAAAGUAGGCAAAACAAGUUGAGUUGCAUGCUAAAUUUGUCGCUGAAAUAUCACCGGAAUGCAAAUGACAGCCCGCAGCAAACGUGUCUUCGACGUGCCUUA